rnacentral:rRNA from 1 species
AUGAUUCAGCACGCUGAGAAAGCCGAGGCGGCUCUGGAAGAGGUUACCACUGAACUCACCGGCCUAAAGAACCGUGUGUCUCAGAUGGUUUCUGCAAUCUUCGGUCCCUGGGGUAGAAAUCUGAGCAAGGAUACACUGGUGAAGCUCAAGGAGGUUUACAUGCUUGUUGAGCAAUUAUACACUGGAGCUCAGCGGACUCUUGCCACUAUCUCCCCGGCGAAUGAAGGACCAAAUUUGUUAAGUGAUGUCUUGAAGAAACAGUCCAUCUUGCCCACCAGGUUCCACGAAAUCAAGCGAUCUUGUGCUAGAGCCGGAGCGGUGACAGCCUUGAGCCGUGCAAAAGCCUGGGUACCGGAAUUAGACCCGGCAGACGUAGCGAGCGGGUAUCCUAGUCUCAAGGAAGAUGGAACGCCUUUUGACCAACAAGACUUUGCUGCCUGCCUCAAAGAGAUCCGUCCUCAUGCUACAAUCAUUGCCGAAGAGACCAACUCACCAAAUAUCAGUCGGGAUACGAUGCAGAUAUCCAGAAGAUGCCGACUCCUUCAUAUAAAGUGA